UGACUCCUAAAAAGAAGAAUUGUAAAAGACUCUUACUUGAAUGCAGGGGUGUUGCUAUAUUUUGCCGAGAAUUUUAGGUUCAACACCUCAGCAGAGUCAUGGCUUGUAACCAUGACAACUAUUGCAGAAGCAGUUGCACCAAAAGCUAGAAGCC